rnacentral:rRNA from 1 species
UCAGUACGGUCGGAAAUCGUACGUAGAGUGUAAAGGCAAAAGAGAGCUUGAUUGCAAGACAUACAGGUCGAGCAAGGAUGAAAAUCGGACUUAGUGAUCCGGUGGUUCUGCGUGGAAGGGCCAUCGCGCAACGGAUAAAAGCUACCCUGGGGAUAACAGGCUUAUCUCCCCCAAGAGUCCACAUCGACGGGGAGGUUUGGCACCUCGAUGUCGGCUCAUCACAUCCUGGGGCUGUAGUAGGUCCCAAGGGUUGGGCUGUUCGCCCAUUAAAGUGGUACGCGAGC